rnacentral:sRNA from 1 species
AAUAGAGGAACUCAGGCUAAGAGCUUCACAUCCUGUGAAAACGCCUGGAAUCGGCUUUGUGCGUGA